GGCGGACGGGUGAGUAACGCGUAAAGAACUUGCCCUUUAGACUGGGAUAACAGAGGGAAACUUCUGAUAAUACUGGAUAAGUUAGUAUAUCGCAUGAUAUACAAAUGAAAGCUACGGCACUAAAGGAGAGCUUUGCGUCCUAUUAGCUAGUUGGUAAGGUAAGAGCUUACCAAGGCGAUGAUAGGUAGCCGGCCUGAGAGGGUGGACGGCCACAAGGGGACUGAGAUACGGCCCUUACUCCUACGGGAGGCAGCAGCU
rnacentral:rRNA from 1 species